CUUGAUGGUACUACUGAAAAGUUUCCUCCUUAUUUUUAAGCUUUUACCAAGUCUCUGCAGUGUGCAGGAGUUCCAACAGAACAAUGAUGAUCUACCAUGAAACAACCAGGGAAAGGAAAAAGGCAAGGUUUAAAAAGUUCUCAAGUGGCAAGGAUAAUCCAUCAUAUUUGACCUAAGUCUUCAAAUUGCUAUUAGUCUAAUUCUAUAGAAAUACAAAUGGAAGAGUUUUUCUAAACAAGCAGAGUCGAUCCCAUUUUAACCACUCCAUCACUGACUGCUGGCAACUUCUGCAGCCACAUUAUCCUUCAGUGACCAGCAACAGUGAUCAGUCAACAGCCAUCAACAUCGAGGGAAGAACCUUCACCAUCAAAAAGAUUGCAACUUUCUGAAGGUCUUCAGACUCUCAGGAGCAGGUUCCAUGCUAUACCUGGGAGGAGAAAUGAAGCAUCACAGAUUGGAUCUUGAUACAGACCAGAUACUUCUGGAAUUCUCUUUCCAAUGAAAGAUCACUUUAAGCGGGUCAUAAGACCUUCAUGCGAAAGAUGUCCACCCUAUACCUGCAGGAAAAGAGCAUCUUUAUCUUAGAAAAUGAAGGGACACGGUGUGGAAUCUGAACAAACAGACCUUGCUGGUAGUGAUUCUGACACCAGUGGACCUCCAGGCGCGGCUCCUCCUACCACGAGAGGACUCUUGACUUUUCUAAUAAAGAAGGUUCUGGCCAAUCAGUCCAAGAAAGGCUCUGAUUCUCUGCCAGGCUGUUGUCUCUGCCGAAAUGCUCCUCAGGGUGGAAGGUGCUGCUGCGGCAGGACAUGUCUCCUGAGUUUUCAGGUCUGUGGUGACCCUGAGCACCAACUGAGUAACACAGAGUCACAUACUAUGUGGGGGCCUAAGGAACAAAUGGUAGAAGAGGCCUUAAGGGACGAGGAGAGAAAUCCAAGGAAGACCUGACUAUGGACUACGAUGGAGGUAGGGUAAUCAUGUGGGCUGUGCCUUGUAGCAGCCUGGGACAGGGAUGACAGCUCGGUGAGGGCUGAGAAAAGAGCAUGUGGUGGGGGUGCAGGUCGCUCUUACCAGGAUCAACUCCUUUGUGCUUUAGUUUAAUAUAGAAAUUACGUAGAGCUCCUGGUUUAAAGGGUGCUAGAGAUGCCUUAGUAUCUGUAGUUGUUAAUAAUAAUACAGCAUUGAGAAAAGAAAGGAUAACUCUUCUUGGUAUGUAUUAAAGGAGUUUUAUAUAGAUGGUAAAUGCAUGCAAAAACAGUAUGGUACUAUACUAUUUCUCCCUUA